AAUAUAGUUCAGGGAUUAAAAAGUUUGCUGAGACCUUCGAUAUAUCCUGCCCAAACUGUUCUGUUCCAAUAGUAAAAAGAAAUACAUCAGUUUAGGGAUGAAAAGUAAAUUAACUGAAGAAAACUGUGAGGAACAAUACAAAAUUUGAGGAAAAUCAAUACUAUUCAGAUUUGUAUGAAGAUGACAAAAGACCAGAAUAUAAUGGAGAUACAGAAUGAGAGUGGAUUUUUUUUUUACUUGGGCCAGGAAAAAAACACCUAGCAACACCUUGGAGACUAGCCACAAAAUGUAUAGCGAUGCACAAAUCACCAUCACAUACUUUCAUCAAAUGGAAAACAGCAGCAGGAACAUUAAUCAGAACGUCUCCUUUUGAGCUCAUAUGUAUGUAUUAAACCAUAACACGUUUUCAGUUCUUGACUGAAGUGUGUCUUUAAAUGUAUGCAUGCUUGGUAUGCUUUGAAUAGCCUAUAUGUGCUCUACUGUAUGUGCAUGACUGAAUCUGUCAGCAGUUUGUGUGUGAAUACAGUCAGCAGUAGUGUUGGAUCAGACAGAGAUAAUGAGAGAUUAAUCACAGGGAUGUG